AGUGAACGCUGGCGGUAGGCCUAACACAUGCAAGUCGAACGGCAGCACAGUAAGAGCUUGCUCUUACGGGUGGCGAGUGGCGGACGGGUGAGGAAUACAUCGGAAUCUACUUUUUCGUGGGGGAUAACGUAGGGAAACUUACGCUAAUACCGCAUACGACCUACGGGUGAAAGCAGGGGAUCUUCGGACCUUGCGCGAUUGAAUGAGCCGAUGUCGGAUUAGCUAGUUGGCGGGGUAAAGGCCCACCAAGGCGACGAUCCGUAGCUGGUCUGAGAGGAUGAUCAGCCACACUGGAACUGAGGUACGGUCCAGACUCCUACGGGAGGCAGCAGUGGGGAAUAUUGGACAAUGGGCGCAAGCCUGAUCCAGCCAUACCGCGUGGGUGAAGAAGGCCUUCGGGUUGUAAAGCCCUUUUGUUGGGAAAGAAAAGCAGCAGGUUAAUACCCCGCUGUUCUGACGGUACCCAAAGAAUAAGCACCGGCUAACUUCGUG
rnacentral:rRNA from 1 species